rnacentral:rRNA from 1 species
AACGAACGCUGGCGGCAGGCUUAACACAUGCAAGUCGAAGGAGAAGCAGGACUUCGGUUCUGUGGACACUGGCGAACGGGUGAGUAACGCGUGGGAACCUCCCUUCGGGGUGGGGGACAACCGCUGGAAACGGCGGCUAAUACCGCAUACGCCCUCCGGGGGAAAACUUUAGUGCCCUGGGAUGGUCCCGCGUCGGAUUAGCUUGUUGGUAGGGUAACGGCCUACCAAGGCGACGAUCCGUAGCUGGUCUGAGAGGAUGAUCAGCCACACUGGAACUGAGACACGGUCCAGACUCCUACGGGAGGCAGCAGUGGGGAAUAUUGGACAAUGGGGGCAACCCUGAUCCAGCCAUGCCGCGUGGGUGAAGAAGGCCUUAGGGUUGUAAAACCCUUUCAGCGGGGAAGAUGAUGACGGUACCCGCAGAAGAAGCCCCGGCUAACUCCGUG